ACCGGCACCUAUCGAAGCCGCUCGUGCUUAUUGUAGCACAGGGCGGUCAACAGGCGGCCAAAAGCAUCACUUUCACCGACGGUCGCUGUUCAGUUACCAAAUAACUGUAAUAGCAACAUUAAGGGAAAGGAUAUUA
ensembl:snoRNA small nucleolar RNA SNORA16B/SNORA16A family